UUACUGUCAGCUAAUUCUCAACUUACACAUGCAAGUAUCCGCACACCCGUGAGAACGCCCUUUAACCUCUCUAGGUAAAGGAGCCGGUAUCAGGCACAGACCUUCUAGCCCACAACACCUAGCUUUGCCACACCCUCAAGGGAAUUCAGCAGUGAUUAACAUUGUUCAUAAGCGACAGCUUGACUCAGUUAGAGAACUAAGAGCCGGCUAAUACGGUGCCAGCCGCCGCGGCUACACCGCUAGGCUCAAGUUGACGCUAUCCGGCGUUAAGCGUGUUUUAAGUGCUCAAAUAGAUUAGAAUUAAACCCCAACCAAGCUGUGACACGCUUGUUACUAAGAAAAACAAAAACGAAAGUUAUUCUAACCAGUCCACUUGACCCCACGACAGCUAGGACACAAACUGGGAUUAGGUACCCCACUAUGCCUAGCUAUAAAAUAUUUAUUCACACCUUAAACCGCCAGGGGAUUACGAGCUCAAGCUUAAAACCCAAAGGACUUGACGGUGCCCCACCCACCUAGAGGAGCCUGUUCUAUAAUCGAUUCUCCCCGAUAUACCUCACCGCUUCUAGCCUUUCAGCCUGUAUACCUCCGUCGUAAGCUUACCAUAUGAACGCCUCUUAGUGAGCUAAAUGAUUUCUCAUAUACACGUCAGGUCAAGGUGCAGCCCACGAAGCGGCAAGCAAUGGGCUACAAUUUCUAUUGAUAGAACACACGAAAGACUACAUGCAACUUAGUCAUGAAGGCGGAUUUAGUAGUAAAAAGAAAAUAGAGAGUUCUUUUUAACCAGGCGCUGGGGCGCGUACACACCGCCCGUCACCCUCUUCAAACGCCACAGUCUAGUAUUUAACAACCUAACGCAUAUUAGAAGAGGUAAGUCGUAACACGGUAAGCGUACUGGAAAGUGCGCUUGGAUUAACAAA
rnacentral:ncRNA from 1 species